CUGGAUGUCUGUGCCAGUCCUUGCAGAUACUCAGAGCCUCCUCUCAUUCCAGCUCUUUGAGGCUCAGCGCUGCCAUAGGCAGCAGGAGCAACAUGCACAGGCAGAGGGAGGAGUCUGCUGUACUGGGCUCACUGCUCAGGGAUGAGUCCUGCAAGUCCAGAUCUCCUCCUGAGGCCCCAGAGAGCUCUUUCUCUGGGUGGAAGGCACAGAGUCUUUCAUUCCCUUCCCUUGUUUGUGUUCCAGCCAAG
rnacentral:lncRNA from 1 species